rnacentral:rRNA from 1 species
ACGAACGCUGGCGGCGUGCUUAACACCUGCAAGUCGCACGGAAAGGCCCUGCUUUUGUGGGGUGCUCGAGUGGCGAACGGGUGAGUAACACGUGAGUAACCUGCCCUUGACUUUGGGAUAACUUCAGGAAACUGGGGCUAAUACCGGAUAGGAGCUCCUGCUGCAUGGUGGGGGUUGGAAAGUUUCGGCGGUUGGGGAUGGACUCGCGGCUUAUCAGCUUGUUGGUGGGGUAGUGGCUUACCAAGGCUUUGACGGGUAGCCGGCCUGAGAGGGUGACCGGCCACAUUGGGACUGAGAUGCGGCCCAGACUCCUACGGGAGGCAGCAGUGGGGAAUAUUGCACAAUGGGCGGAAGCCUGAUGCAGCAACGCCGCGUGCGGGAUGACGGCCUUCGGGUUGUAAACCGCUUUCGCCUGUGACGAAGCGUGAGUGACGGUAAUGGGUAAAGAAGCACCGGCUAACUACGUG